GACUAGGCCUAGAUUAGGAGAGAGUCCUUCAGAGAUAUCUCUGAAGAUGGUAUCUCAACUGUUCACCAUCAGUCACAGGUCACACUCCUGGUUUUACUCUUUCUCCCGACUCACUACUGCAUUCGACUGGUCUUAA
rnacentral:sRNA from 1 species